rnacentral:rRNA from 1 species
UGGUAUUGGCCUUAGAAGCGGCGAGUGAAGCGGCAAAAGCUCAAAUUUGAAAUCUGGCACUUUCAGUGUCCGAGUUGUAAUUUGAAGAAGGUAUCUUUGGGUCUGGCUCUUGUCUAUGUUUCUUGGAACAGAACGUCACAGAGGGUGAGAAUCCCGUGCGAUGAGAUGUCCCAGACCUAUGUAAAGUUCCUUCGAAGAGUCGAGUUGUUUGGGAAUGCAGCUCUAAGUGGGUGGUAAAUUCCAUCUAAAGCUAAAUAUUGGCGAGAGACCGAUAGCGAACAAGUACAGUGAUGGAAAGAUGAAAAGAACUUUGAAAAGAGAGUGAAAAAGUACGUGAAAUUGUUGAAAGGGAAGGGCUUGAGAUCAGACUUGGUAUUUUGUAUGUUACUCUCUCGGGGGUGGCCUCUACAGUUUACCGGGCCAGCAUCAGUUUGAGCGGUAGGAUAAGUGCAAAGAAAUGUGGCACUGCUUCGGUAGUGUGUUAUAGUCUUUGUCGAUACUGCCAGCUUAGACUGAGGACUGCGGCUUCGGCCUAGGAUGUUGGCAUAAUGAUCUUAAGUCGCCCGUCUUGAAACCCGGGACAUCA